GUUACUAGAGGUAGAGAGCGUCCCUCUACGCGCCCUAGUGGUCAAAAGAGAUGUGGGAAAGGGGACACCCACCUAGUAAC
rnacentral:ncRNA from 12 species